CAGGCCGCCCUCCGCCCGCGUCCCCCAACUCUGCCUGGUAGGGUGCAGCGCUUCUUUUUCCCUCCCUCUCGCCCUCUUUUUCUUCCCUUUCCCUGCGCCAUCCGCGCACGGGUUCAAACAACCGUGAUCUGUGAAUAAACAGUCAGUAAACAACCGAAAAAAACAUUCUAGAUCCGAAUUCCAGGAGGGUAAACUUUCCACGCCACGUCACACUUCAGCAAAUUUGCACAGAUAUUAUAUUGCCUCCCCCUCUUUAUUAUUCUUUUUUUUUUUUUUUUUUUUUUGCUAGGAACCCAUUGUACUUAACUGAAUUUUAUAACGCUGAUCGAUAUCUUGGUAAAAUAUUCAUUUUUAAACUAGCGGGCAGUGAAAUCUUUGCUUUGUGUGCUAAAGUCAACAGUCGCUCGGUUUGAGCUCAAAUAAAUGCGAGGAUUCCUGGGCUCGGAGCAGUCGGCCGCCUCCCUCCGCGCGCUGGACGCUCCGCCGCCGCCCGCCCGCCGGCCGCACCGCAGAGCUCACACACAAGAUGCCUCCCUAUCUCCUGCCAGCAGCGAGCAGCGGGAAGGAGUUGAUCCCAGGCGCUAACCCGCAGUUAUCAGAAGGCCCGGCUCAUUCGGGGGGCUCAGCUCUGGAACCUGAGGCGAUCCUUCAUUGAUUGUGGAAAGCGCUGUUUAGAUUUUGCCCUGGCUCAGUAAACAACCAAAAGUAACUGAGGGAUUUCUCCCUUGCAUUCGUCAGAAUCUCUUUCUCUCUUUCCCUCCCCCUC
rnacentral:lncRNA from 9 species